rnacentral:tRNA from 1 species
AAGAAAGAAGUGCAAGAACUGCUAACUCCUGCCCACCAUGUAUAAAAACAUGGCUUUCUUA